GGAAAAGACCCAGGGAAUGGAGAAGAAGGGAAAAGUCAGGAGGUGGCAGAUUUCUUUGAACCCAUUUUCUGGUUAAAAGGGUAGGCAGGAGUUCCUGUCAUGGCUCAGCAGGUUAAGGACCUAACAUAGUAUCCCUGAGGAUGUGGGUUUGAUCCCUGGCCUCAAUCAAUGGGUUGAGGAUCCAGAGUUGCCACAAGCUGUGGCAUAGGUGACUGAUGCAGCUCAGAUCUGAUGUUGCUAUGGCUGUGGCAUAGGCCUGUAGCUGCAGCUCUGAUUUGACUCCCUGGCCUGGGAACUUCCAUAUGCUGCAGGUGUGGCCCUAGAAAGAAAAGAAAAAAAAAAGAGUGGAAAAGACCUGCCCUUCCCUCCAUGCAAAAAGCCUAUUUUUGUUUGUCAGUCAAGCAUUUCUGUGCCUUCUUUGAGACCUGCCUGUUUUCCAUUAUAUAAGAUGAGGAGUAGAAAAAGGAACUAUGAGAGGGUAGCUAUCAAAAGGCCUGAAUUUGCCAUUAAAGAUGUCGUCCAGGAGCUUCCUUUGCUAUCUGAUCUCUGAAUGAAUAUCAAGAGCUGAGGACCGUCAUGGAAAACAAAAGUAAGAACAAAAAGGGAGCCUCUCCGAGUUCUUAGCAGGCAAGAGCUAUAGUAGGAGGGUUUCCAGGUGGAGAAGGGAUGCAUUUCUCUAGUUUCAUCUUCCUUUUGGAGUCCGCUCACUGAUUCUGCUGUUCACACUACCCCAGGUGGCCUCAGGUGUGCUGCUUGUUAACCCACCUGGGCACCAGACCCACAUCCUUCUCUUUGGGCUCCUGGGACAUCUGGUAUUCUCAACAGGAAAUUUAUAAAAUAAUGCAUUAGAGCAAGGAGGAAAUCAUUGGGAAGAAAAUACAAUUAGCAGCAUAUUAAAUACACAAGUUUCCUGAGUGCAUGUUUUGGGUCCAGUAGGGAUGCAGUCUGAACCAGCAAGAGUCAGGCCCCACCCAGCUACUCCCUCACCUGCCUGCCUUCUGGCCCAGCUCCCUGCCUGUUCCUAAGCAGUAGGUGCCAUAUAACUUUCCAUAAUCUGGGAGGAGAUUCCAAGGUAAGACCUAAAGACACCAUGUUGCAAACCACCUGUUCAGCAGAGCCUUCCCACUCCAGCCUGGUUUCCUUUCCAGGCAGGAGCUUGGCCACCAGGUCUGUCACAAUGCAGGCUUCAUCCUCAAGGCAGAGAUCUUGUUCUCUAGAAUCUUCUUCUUAAAGUGGGCUUGUGUUGACCUGGGAGUGGGGGUACAGCUAAUACUUUUAUUUUUAUUUAUUUAUUUAUUGGCACAAAAUUCUUUACAGCCUGUUGGUAUCUUUAAAAAAAUUUUUAUUGGAGUAUAGUUGACUUACAGUGUUGUAUGUUUCAGGUAUACAAGCAAGGUGAAUCAGUUGAUCACUAUAUACAUAUAUAUUCAUUCCUUUGCAGAUUCUUUUCCCAUAUAGAUUAUUACAGAGUAUUGAGUAGAUUUCCCUGUAGUAUACAGUAGGGUUUUGUUACUUAUCUAUUUUAUAGAUAGUAAUAUGAAUAUGUUAUUCCCACCCUCCUAACUUAUCCCUCCCACUCAUGUUUCCUCUUUGGUAACCAAAGAGGAAAUCUUUGAGUCUGUUUCUGUUUUGUGAGUAAGUUCUUUUGUAUCAUUUUUUAUUAGAUUCCACAUGUUGCUGCAAAUUGCAUUAUUUCAUUCUUUUUUUUUUAUAGCUGAGUAGUAUUCUAUUGUGUAUAUGGAAUACACAUCUUCUUUAUCCAUUCUUCUGUUGAUGGACAUUUAGGUUGCUUCCAUGUCUUGGCUAUUAUAAAUAGUGCUGCAGUGAACAUUGGGAUGCAUGUAUCUUUUCAAAUUAUGGUUUUCUCCAGAUAUAUGCCCAGGAGAGGGAUUUCUGGGUCAUAUGGUAGUUCUAUAUUUAGUUUUCUGAGGAACUUCCGUAGUGUUCUCCAUAGUGGUUGUAUCAACUUACAUCCCCACUAACAGUAAAAAAGGGUUCCCUUUUCUCCAUGCCCUCUCCAGCAUUUACUGUUUGUAGACUUUCUGAUGAUGGUCAUUGUGACUGGUGUGAGGUGAUAUCUCAUUGUAGAUUUUUUUUUUUGCUGCACCCAUGGCACAUGGAAUUUCCCAGGCCAGGGAUCAAACCCACGCCACAGCAGCCACCCCAAGCCGCUGCAGUGACAAUGCUGGAUCCUUAACCUGCUGUGCCACAGGAGAACUCCACCUAAUUGCAGCUUUGAUUUGCAUUUCUCUAAUAAUUAGUGAUGUUGCAUCUCAUGCUUUUAGAUGGGACAUGAAUGAAUACUUUUACUUUAAUGGCAGUGCGUUUGUUUCCAUGGGUUCCUUUAAUUUAGAUCACAUGGUAGUGGUUUCCUAUUUACAUGAGCGAUACAUAGUUUAAGUGAAACGGUGAGAAGUUUAAGGGAAAAUAAUGAAUUAAAUAAUAGUUCAGGUGGUAUGUGGCUCUCAUGAAAAUCGGGAAGGUGGUCCACAGGGGACACACUGCCUUAGAGUGACCUGCCUGUCUAAUAAUUAGUGAUAAGACAGGGCUCUAAUAAUAAAAGCCCAACGGGAUUUACCAGCAUUUGGUUCUGGGGGCCUUUCUGUUUCUGGUAAGAACAAGGAAAACCUGGAGAAGAUUUACUAAUCAAUUAGAUCUAUUAGAUCUACUAAUAGUCUCCUCCAUGAGCAUGAAUAACUAGGCCAUUGACUAUGUUUUGUUUCUUCAUCAGCUUCCUCUCAUGCUUUCCUUGCUGAAAUUCAGGGCAGAAGCAAUGGUGACUAAACCUCAGAUUAUUCUGCUUUGGUCAAAUCUCCUUUUGAUAGUUUACCUCCCAAGCCCUGCCUGGACCCUCUAGAAAGAGGAUUUUUCAAAUCUCUUCCUUUUUUUAAUCUGCACUCUCUCAGCCCUUAUCCUCCUGAAACAUGGCAUGGGAUGCAUUCCUAAACCUUGUUUGGCCUGAAAAAACCUACACUAGGCUCAAGUGCUUCUGUUCUGGAGAUAACAUCUUGCUCUGUUGUGUCGCGGGCAUCCCCUGGCAGCUGUUCUAGGUGCAGCGGGAAGGAACUGAGGAAGCCAGCAUCUACUGAGUCCCUCCCAGGAGCCAGGCAUUGCACCAGGCUUCCAUCUGAUUGAGCUCUUCGAGUUCUCCUGCCAGCCCAGCGGGUAUUCUUUGAUACUUAAGGAAACCGAGGUGCAGAGAAGCUCAGUAACCUGCCUCAGGGUCCCUGACUCACGUGAGCUUUGCACGGGUCUUCUCUGGGCCUGCCCUUUCCUGCCCUGUGCGUGCUGCCACCGCCGCUGCUGGGAUAAUAGCGAAAGGUCUCCCAACACAAGGGCUUUCUCUUUUGCCUGCAACAACAAUGAGCUGGAGGGGAAAACAGAUUGAUUAAAGUUGAAUUUGUCCUAGUGGGAAACUGGCCAGAGCAUCUCUGGAGAGCCUCAGGCUGGGCUCGGCUGGCUGUCAGGAUAUGGCCUGGAGCCCGACUUCCCUUCCUGGCCCUCCCUUUAUCUUCCUACCCUCUCUCAUUGCCUUCUGCUCCCUGACCUUACUGCCCCCUCCGUGGGAGCUGGAAAGCAAGCUGCUUGGAAGGAAAUGGCUUUUGUUAUUUAACCUGGAUGAGUGUCUCCUUGUGCCUUCUCUGGAAAUCUACUCAUGGCUGAAGGAGGGGGACAGGGGUCACCCUAAUGUUGUUUGUUUUGGGGAGGCCUAAAAAAGCAAAGGAAGCCCCUUACAUACCUCACUGGAGUUGUCCCCACCUCCUUUCCAAGCACUAAUUCUAACCUUAUUCUUUUUUUAAAAUUGAGAUAUAAUUGAUAUAUGACAUUGUAUUGGUUUUAGGUAUACAACGUAAGGAUUCAACAUCUGUAUAUAUUGCCAAAUGAUCACCUCAGUAAGUCUAGUUAACAUCUAUCCCUAUUCUUAUACAACAUAGGUGGUAAAUACACACACCCUUAGCCUGGCAUUGAAAGCUAUCAACAUGUGGAUCCCAAUUAGCUUUUCCAGUACUGUAAUCUACCACUUCCUUAGACAAUCCUCAUUUUCCUACGGUCCAAAAUAACCAUCCUGGCUAUCUGGCCACCUUGCUCCUCCCACCUCUGCCUAUUAAGCAGCUUUAUGGAAUAGUAAGAAGGGUUAGAUCUGUAGCCCUGGGUUGGAUGUCAUAUCUCCCAGGCUUAUCUCCAGUGAGCUUCAAUUUCCUUGUCUCUAAAAUGGGCCUAAUGAUACAGCCCACCUACUUUGUAAACAGUUAUGAUGAUGAGACAGAAUUAUAUGAAAAACCCUUUGUAAACGCUAAAUACCAUCCAGAUGCCACUUCAUAUUGCUAAGGGAAAAUGACCCAUCCUUGAGGGCUCAGAUCUAUGGUACCACCUCAUGAAGGUUCCCCCAGGGCCUUGGGUCAAAGCAAGCACCCCUUCUUUUGGCAAAGCUCCAACCUGGCAGAAUCUUCACAGCAUGUAUCAUGUUUUGACCACCAUAAGACUUAUUUGUGUCCCAGGCUUUGAGUUUAUGUGGAGGGCAGAGAAGUUAUUUAGGCGUCUUUGUUUCCCAGGGGGCCCAGCGCUGCACAUAGCAAAUUCUCAAAAAACAUUUGUUGAACUGGGGAGACAAAAAAAAAGAAAAGGAAAGAAAGAAGGAAGGAAAAGGGAAAGAAGGAAGGAAAGAAGGAAAGAAAGAAAGAAA
rnacentral:lncRNA from 1 species